AAUCAUAAAGCUCAACUGGCAAGAGAUUGGGCAGGGAAAGUAAGACAUGUCUCUUCUCAUAAAGUCAGCAAAGGCAUUCCAUAACCACACGGAGCAGUCAGCACAUGUGUCAUCAGACAGAAGUGGAAGUUUUGAUGUUGAGAAUCCCAGCUGCAUAUUUCUAGCAUGAAGGGCUUGCUGUCUGCUCAGUAAAAGAACAGACUGGAUCCAAGAAAAGAACACGGUGUCUUCUAAUUAGAAUUCUACCAUACAACAAGAAGUAAUAGUAUUAACAAUACUUUACACGUGGAAUCUUUUGCAUCUAUCUACAAAUCUGCAAGGAAGGCAUAAAGUAUUAUUUGAGAUGUCAGGAUUGAUGGCUGUGAAUUCAUGAUUAU
rnacentral:lncRNA from 1 species